rnacentral:tRNA from 1 species
GAGGGUAUAGCUCAGUGGUAAGAGUGCAUGCUUAGCAUGCAUGAGGUCCUGGAUUCAGUCCUCAAUACCGCCA